UUACUAUCGUGCAAGGUAUAGAUAUUUGCUCAUUGUAUUUAGUUUAAUUUUUCAGUAUUGCUGGGGAUGGGAUUACUCAGGAUUGAUUAAGCAAUUAAUUGUUGAGAAGGAAAAUAUUUAUUGACAGUAGGGUGAUUAUUGUGUUAUAUAUAAAAUAUUAAUCCGGAGAUCGAAUUACUUUUGAAUUAUACUAUUAACAAAUAAUGAUGAUGUGUUUUACUCGGGAGACCUUUGGGUUUUGUUGAAUUUGUACUUAUUCUUACUUUCACUUGUAACUAAAGUCCAACUAAAAAAGUUUCAAUACCAAACUAGCUGAGAUCUUUAACAUGAUCUAUCUCCCCAUUAAGCUAUGUUUAUGUUCAAGCUUGUCACUAGUUGUUGCAUUAUAUAAAUAAUUUCUUUUACCACUUAAGACUGAGUCAUUUUUAUGUUGUUCUGCUUACUUUUGUUCUUUGCUGCAUUGAUGGAUUUGAUAGCAAAACCAUUUCAGUUGACCAACUUGUUCUAAAUGGCAGCCUACCCCAUAUUUCUAUGGGCUUACUUCUUUCUUAUCUCUUCCACUUUGUAUUUCUAUACAUCCAUAUUAACACCCUUGUUUUUGGACAAUGCUUAUGUUAGGAACUAGUGGCAAAGCUACACAAUAACAUUUUUUUUUGGGGUGUUGGGGGGAUAAAAUUAUAAAAUAAUG
rnacentral:misc_RNA from 1 species